AUGGUAGGAUAGAGGCCUACCAUGGUGGUAACGGGUAACGGGGUGUUAGGGCACGACACCGGAGAGGGAGCCUGAGAAACGGCUACCACAUCCAAGGAUGGCAGCAGGCGCGCAAAUUACCCAAUCCCGACACGGGGAGGUAGUGACAAUAAAUAACAAUACGGGGUUCUUUAGGAUCUCGUAAUUGGAAUGAGUACAAUUUAAAUCUCUUAACGAGGAACAAUUGGAGGGCAAGUCUGGUGCCAGCAGCCGCGGUAAUUCCAGCUCCAAUAGCGUAUAUNAAAGUUGUUGCAGUUAAAAAGCUCGUAGUUGAAUUUCGGGGUCAGUAGGUCGGUCGUGCCACUGGUAUGAACUGGUUUUACUGAUUCCUCCCUCUUGAAGAACUGUAAUGCCAUUAAUUUGGUGUUGCAGGGAAUCAGUACUGUUACUUUGAAAAAAUUAGAGUGUUUAAAGCAGGCUUUAGCUUGAAUACAUUAGCAUGGAAUAAUGAAAUAGGACGUUUGAUCCUAUUUUGUUGGUUUCUAGGAUUGACGUAAUGAUUAAUAGGGAUAGUUGGGGGCAUUAGUAUUCAAUUGUCAGAGGUGAAAUUCUUGGAUUUAUUGAAGACUAACUACUGCGAAAGCAUUUGCCAAGGAUGUUUUCAUUAAUCAAGAACGAAAGUUAGGGGAUCGAAGACGAUCAGAUACCGUCGUAGUCUUAACCAUAAACUAUGCCGACUAGGGAUCGGAUGAUGUUAAUUUUUUAAUGACUCAUUCGGCGCCUUACGGGAAACCAAAGUGUUUGGG
rnacentral:rRNA from 1 species